UGUUCGUCCUAGCGCAGACCUUUCCGUGGUCCUCGGGAUAAGUACUCUCCGGCACAAGGAAGACGUGUCAGCGCCCAGUAUACUAUAUUGGGUCCUGAUACGUUGUCGGUAGGGGAAACCAACAUGCGC
rnacentral:ribozyme from 1 species